GACGAACGCUGGCGGCGUGCUUAACACAUGCAAGUCGAACGGAAAGGCCCUGCUUUUGUGGGGUGCUCGAGUGGCGAACGGGUGAGUAACACGUGAGUAACCUGCCUUUUACUUUGGGAUAACUUCAGGAAACUGGGGCUAAUACCGGAUAGAAGCUCCUGCUGCAUGGUGGGGGUUGGAAAGUUUCGGUGGCUGGGGAUGGACUCGCGGGUUAUCAGUUGGUUGUUGGGGUGGUGGCUUACCAAGGCUUUGACGGGCAGACGGACUGAGAGGGUGACACGCCAUCUUGGGACUGAGAGAAGGCAGAAGCUGCUAAGGGAGGCAGAAGGGGGGAAUACUGAACCAGGCGCGGAGGGCUGAUGCAGAAACGCCGCGUGCGGGAUGACGGCCUUCGGGUUGUAGAAAGCUUUCGCCUGUAACGACGCGUGAGUGACGGUAAUGGGUAAAGAAGCAACGGCUAACUACGUG
rnacentral:rRNA from 1 species